GCCUGAGUGGCUCAGUAGGUUAAGCAUCUGACUUCGGCUCAGGUCAUGAUCUUGCGGUCCGUGAGUUCGAGCCCUGCAUCAGGCU
rfam:Felis catus isolate Cinnamon breed Abyssinian chromosome A3, whole genome shotgun sequence.